rnacentral:rRNA from 1 species
GACAGAGGGUGCAAACGUUGUUCGGAAUUACUGGGCGUAAAGCGAGUGUAGGCGGUUUCCUAAGUCGGAUGUGAAAGCCCCGGGCUCAACCCGGGAAGUGCACUCGAAACUGGGAGGCUAGAGUAUCGGAGAGGUUGGUGGAAUUCUCGGUGUAGAGGUGAAAUUCGUAGAUAUCGAGAGGAACACCGGUGGCGAAGGCGGCCAACUGGACGAAUACUGACGCUGAGAAUCGAAAGCGUGGGGAGCAAACAGG